UACAGAGGGUGCAAGCGUUGUUCGGAAUUAUUGGGCGUAAAGGGCGCGUAGGCGGCGUGGUAAGUCACUUGUGAAAUCUCUGAGCUUAACUCAGAACGGCCAAGUGAUACUGCUGUGCUAGAGUGCAGAAGGGGCAAUCGGAAUUCUUGGUGUAGCGGUGAAAUGCGUAGAUAUCAAGAGGAACACCUGAGGUGAAGACGGGUUGCUGGGCUGACACUGACGCUGAUGCGCGAAAGCCAGGGGAGCAAAGCGGG
rnacentral:rRNA from 1 species